rnacentral:rRNA from 1 species
AACCUUUACACUGCACGACAGUGCGAUAAGGGAAUCCCAAGUGCGUAGGCAUAGAGCCUACGCUUUUGUCCACCGUAGGGAGGUGGACGAAUAAGGGCUGGGCAAGACCGGUGCCAGCCGCCGCGGUAAUACCGGCAGCCCGAGUGAUGGCCGAUCUUAUUGGGCCUAAAGCGUCCGUAGCUGGCCGCACAAGUCCAUCGGAAAAUCCACCCGCUCAACGGGUGGGCGUCCGGUGGAAACUGUGUGGCUUGGGACCGGAAGGCGCGACGGGUACGUCCGGGGUAGGAGUGAAAUCCCGUAAUCCUGGACGGACCGCCGAUGGCGAAAGCACGUCGCGAGAACGGAUCCGACAGUGAGGGACGAGAGCUAGGGUCUCGAACCGGAUUAGAUACCCGGGUAGUCCUAGCCGUAAACAAUGCCUGCUAGGUGUGGCUCCCACUACGAGUGGGUGAUGUGCCGUAGUGAAGACGAUAAGCGAGCCGCCUGGGAAGUACGUCCGCAAGGAUGAAACUUAA